UGCGUAGGCGGGUCUUUAAGUCAGGGGUGAAAUCCUGGAGCUCAACUCCAGAACUGCCUUUGAUACUGAGGGUCUUGAGUCCGGGAGAGGUGAGUGGAACUGCGAGUGUAGAGGUGAAAUUCGUAGAUAUUCGCAAGAACACCAGGGGCGAAGGCGGCUCACUGGCCCGGUACUGACGCUGAGGCACGAAAGCGUGGGGAAGCAAACA
rnacentral:rRNA from 1 species